rnacentral:rRNA from 1 species
UAAUACGGAGGGGGCGAGCGUUGUUCGGAAUCAUUGGGCGUAAAGGGCGCGUAGGCGGCCUGAUCAAGUCGGAUGUGAAAUCCCUCGGCUCAACCGAGGAACUGCACCCGAUACUGGUUGGCUAGAGUCCGGGAGGGGGUAGCGGAAUUCCCAGUGUAGCGGUGAAAUGCGUAGAUAUUGGGAAGAACACCGGUGGCGAAGGCGGCUACCUGGACCGGUACUGACGCUGAGGCGCGAAAGCCAGGGGAGCGAAUGGGAUUAGAUACCCCGGUAGUCCUGGCUGUAAACGAUGGGCACUUGAUGUGGUGGGUACUGACCCCCGCCGUGUCGAAGCUAACGCGUUAAGUGCCCCGCCUGGGGAGUACGGUCGCAAGGCUG